rnacentral:rRNA from 1 species
CACAUGCAAGUCGAACGGCAGCACGGGUGCUUGCACCUGGUGGCGAGUGGCGAACGGGUGAGUAAUGCACCGGAACGUAUCCAAUAAUGGGGGAUAACGCACCGAAAGGUGUGCUAAUACCGCAUACGCCCUGAGGGGGAAAGCGGGGGAUCGUAAGACCUCGCGUUAAUGGAGCGGCCGAUGCCGGAUUAGCUAGUUGGUGAGGUAAAGGCUCACCAAGGCGACGAUCCGUAGCUGGUCUGAGAGGACGACCAGCCACACUGGAACUGAGACACGGUCCAGACUCCUACGGGAGGCAGCAGUGGGGAAUUUUGGACAAUGGGCGCAAGCCUGAUCCAGCCAUGCCGCGUGAGUGAAGAAGGCCUUCGGGUUGUAAAGCUCUUUCAGCCGGAAAGAAAACGCACGGGUUAAUAACCUGUGUGGAUGACGGUACCGGAAGAAGAAGCACCGGCUAACUACGUG